rnacentral:rRNA from 1 species
GAUGAACGCUGGCGGCGUGCCUAAUACAUGCAAGUCGAGCGAACAGAUGAGGAGCUUGCUCCUCUGACGUUAGCGGCGGACGGGUGAGUAACACGUGGAUAACCUACCUAUAAGACUGGGAUAACUUCGGGAAACCGGAGCUAAUACCGGAUAAUAUAUUGAACCGCAUGGUUCAAUAGUGAAAGACGGUUUUGCUGUCACUUAUAGAUGGAUCCGCGCCGCAUUAGCUAGUUGGUAAGGUAACGGCUUACCAAGGCAAGGAUGCGUAGCCGACCUGAGAGGGUGAUCGGCCACACUGGAACUGAGACACGGUCCAUACUCCUAAGGGAGGCAGCAGUAGGGAAUCUUCCGCAAUGGGCGAAAGCCUGACGGAGCAACGCCGCGUGAGUGAUGAAGGUCUUCGGAUCGUAAAACUCUGUUAUUAGGGAAGAACAAAUGUGUAAGUAACUAUGCACGUCUUGACGGUACCUAAUCAGAAAGCCACGGCUAACUACGUG